rnacentral:rRNA from 1 species
UACGAACCGUCCAAACGUUAUUCGGAUUUAUUGGGCUUAAAGGGUAUGUAGGCGGCCCUUCAAGUCGGGUGUGAAAGCCCUCGGCUCAACCGAGGAACUGCGCCCGAUAUCUGGUGGGGCUCGAGGGAGACAGAGGUAAGCGGAACUGAUGGUGGAGCGGUGAAAUGCGUUGAUAUCAUCAGGAACACCAGUGGCGAAAGCGGCUUACUGGGUCUCUUCUGACGCUGAGAUACGAAAGCUAGGGGAGCGAACGGG